GGAAUUGACGGGGACCCGCACAAGCGGUGGAGCAUGUGGUUUAAUUCGAAGCAACGCGAAGAACCUUACCAAAUCUUGACAUCCUCUGACCCCUCUAGAGAUAGAGUUUUCCCCUUCGGGGGACAGAGUGACAGGUGGUGCAUGGUUGUCGUCAGCUCGUGUCGUGAGAUGUUGGGUUAAGUCCCGCAACGAGCGCAACCCUUAAGCUUAGUUGCCAUCAUUAAGUUGGGCACUCUAAGUUGACUGCCGGUGACAAACCGGAGGAAGGUGGGGAUGACGUCAAAUCAUCAUGCCCCUUAUGAUUUGGGCUACACACGUGCUACAAUGGACAAUACAAAGGGUAGCGAAACCGCGAGGUCAAGCAAAUCCCAUAAAGUUGUUCUCAGUUCGGAUUGUAGUCUGCAACUCGACUAUAUGAAGCUGGAAUCGCUAGUAAUCGUAGAUCAGCAUGCUACGGUGAAUACGUUCCCGGGUCUUGUACACACCGCCCGUCACACCACGAGAGUUUGUAACACCCGAAGCCGGUGGAGUAACCAUUUGGAGCUAGCCGUCGAAGGUGGGACAAA
rnacentral:rRNA from 1 species